rnacentral:rRNA from 1 species
AGUGAACGCUGGCGGUAGGCCUAACACAUGCAAGUCGAACGGCAGCACAGUAAGAGCUUGCUCUUACGGGUGGCGAGUGGCGGACGGGUGAGGAAUACAUCGGAAUCUACUUUUUCGUGGGGGAUAACGUAGGGAAACUUACGCUAAUACCGCAUACGACCUACGGGUGAAAGCAGGGGAUCUUCGGACCUUGCGCGAUUGAAUGAGCCGAUGUCGGAUUAGCUAGUUGGCGGGGUAAAGGCCCACCAAGGCGACGAUCCGUAGCUGGUCUGAGAGGAUGAUCAGCCACACUGGAACUGAGACACGGUCCAGACUCCUACGGGAGGCAGCAGUGGGGAAUAUUGGACAAUGGGCGCAAGCCUGAUCCAGCCAUACCGCGUGUGUGAGGAAGGCGUUCGGGUUGUAAAGCCCUUUUGUUGGGAAAGAAAAGCAGCAGGUUAAUACCCCGCUGUUCUGACGGUACCCAAAGAAUAAGCACCGGCUAACUUCGUG